CCUACGGGGGGCAGCAGUGGGGAAUAUUGCGCAAUGGUCGAAAGACUGACGCAGCGACGCCGCGUGUGGGAGGAAGCCUUUCGGGGUGUAAACCACUGUCAGACGGGAAGAACACUGCAUGUUCGAACAGGGCAUGCAAUUGACGGUACCGUCAGAGGAAGCGCCGGCUAACUCCGUGCCAGCAGCCGCGGUAAGACGGAGGGCGCAAGCGUUGUUCGGAAUUACUGGGCGUAAAGCGCGGGCAGGUGGUCUGUUAAGUCUCCUGUGAAACUCCGGGGCUCAACCCCGGACAUGCAGGAGAUACUGGCAGACUGGAGACCGGUAGAGGCUAGCGGAAUUCCUGGUGUAGCGGUGGAAUGCGUAGAUAUCAGGAAGAACACCGGUGGCGAAGGCGGCUAGCUGGGCCGGUUCUGACACUCAUCCGCGAAAGCGUGGGGAG
rnacentral:rRNA from 1 species